AGAGCGUGAACAUGAUCUAUUUUAUAGGCUCGUACAGCUGUAUCUUUAACUAUAAAAGAGGCAAGCAACUAACUCUGGUUGAUGAAAAGUGGCUUCUGGCUCGAGCGUGAUUAACAGUUCUGAUCCAUUCGAAUCGAGUUGUGGAGGAUCGUUCUCAGUUGGCCACCACCCGCUGAGAUGGCCCUGAAGCUUUCUAACAGAUU